rnacentral:snRNA from 1 species
AUGUUAUUGAUAAUAUUUG